rnacentral:rRNA from 1 species
ACAACGAAGAGUUUGAUCCUGGCUCAGGAUGAACGCUAGCGACAGGCUUAACACAUGCAAGUCGAGGGGCAGCGGGGGUGCAGGCUUGCCUGCACCUGCCGGCGACCGGCGCACGGGUGAGUAACACGUAUGGAACCUGCCCGCCAC